rnacentral:rRNA from 1 species
UACAGAGGGGGCAAGCGUUGUUCGGAAUUACUGGGCGUAAAGGGCGCGUAGGCGGCCUGCUAAGUCGAACGUGAAAUCCCUGGGCUCAACCCAGGAACUGCGUCCGAUACUGGUUGGCUUGAAUUCGGGAGAGGGAUGUGGAAUUCCAGGUGUAGCGGUGAAAUGCGUAGAUAUCUGGAGGAACACCGGUGGCGAAGGCGGCAUCCUGGCCCUGUCCUGACGCUCAGGGGCGAAAGCGUGGGGAGCAACCGG